rnacentral:rRNA from 1 species
CGCGUAGGCGGCUUGGCAAGUUGGGUGUGAAAGCCCAGGGCUCAACCCUGGAAUUGCACUCAAGACUGCCUUGCUUGAAUUAGGUAGAGGUUGGCGGAAUUCCCAGUGUAGAGGUGAAAUUCGUAGAUAUUGGGAAGAACACCCGUGGCGAAGGCGGCCAACUGGACCUACAUUGACGCUGAGGCGCGAAAGCGUGGGGAUCAAACAGGAUUAGAUACCCUGGUAGUCCACGCCGUAAACGAUGCAUGCUAGACGUAGAAGGCUCACGCCUCCUGUGUCGCAGCUAACGCAUUAAGCAUGCCGCCUGGGGAGUACGGCCGCAAGGUUGAA